CGGCGGCUGGACGCAGGGCGAGCCAUGGAGAUGGGCGCCGAGAUCCAUGGAUGCAGGGAGGAGGGAGGAGCUCGCAGGCUAGCUGGGGAUGGAGGAGGAGAAAUCCACGCGCGCCAUAGAAGGGCUUCGACAGGGACAGGGCGCUGCUGGGAAAUGGAGGGAGAGAAGCAAGGGGGCAGCUAGGCUCUUGGCCGACCGGAGUUGGAGGAGGAAGCCGCGGCCUGAACGCCGGCGAGCCAGGCGCGGCCAUGGCUGGGGAAGAGGAACAGCAGGCGAUUUGGAGCGCGGCGUGCUUGAAGAUGGAGCAGAGGAAGCAGUGCAGAGAAGGAACGCGGGGCACAGGGAAGCGCGCGUCAUGGCUGGGAGGAUCUGGGGCGAGCUGCGCGCGUGCAGAAGGCAGGGAGAGCG
rnacentral:misc_RNA from 1 species